rnacentral:lncRNA from 1 species
UUAAAGGGUGGGGUUUAGGAUUUAGGGUUUAGGGUUUAGGGUUUAGAUUUUAGGGUUUAAGGUUUAAAGUUUAGGGUUUAGGGUUUAGGGUUUAGAGUUUAGGGUUUAUGGUUUAGGGUUUAGAGUUUAGAAAUGAGGUUUUGGGGAUAAGAUUUCAAAUUUUGAAAAAUAAAAAAAAUUAAAAUUUUCAAACGAUAAACUUAGAAAAGUGCUAUUUUGGUCAUUUUAGUUUUUGAGUGCUAUUUUUGUAAUAUAAACUUAUAAAUGUGCUAUUUUGGAUAUUUCUCCUUAUAUAUAUAGACUUAAAAUUUCAAAGAAAGAAGAUACCUUUAGAGAUCCUCCUUCUAUUGAUCAAAAAAAAGAAGAAGAUCAUCCUUCUAUAAACUCCAUUAGGAUAGCGGAUUGAAAUAUGUGUUGAUGUACGUUUCCAUUUUCUGAGGUUUUCCAUUUGAAAGAUAUCUCAUGCCCGUAUAACUCCACUAUAUAGUAGUCAUGUUUCACAGCUCAAAAAGCACACAUCUCC